rnacentral:lncRNA from 1 species
CUUUUAUUCAGUGCAAUAUUAUUUUUUUUACUUUUUUUAAUGUAUUGAUUUAACAAUAUUCAUUUAAUACUAAUACAUAUUCCCUAAUACCAUGUGUUAUUAUAAUACAAGGUUUUGUUAUUAUGUAAAUCUUUAAUAAGUAUGGUCUUUCUUAUGAUGAACUCUUCAUUUUUUUUUCAUUCUAAGGCCAUAGUUGUUUUUUUAUUUGUUUUGCGUCCGCGUGCGGGUAGGUUUUCGGCCAAUUUGUGUCAAAAACAAACACAAACUUUUUUUUGUUCGUCAGUAGAAAAUCCGUAUUUUCCGGGUUUUUCCAGCCGUGUUUUUGUGUAUUCUUAUACUCAAAUCUAUUUUGCGCUUUAAAUAACAAGUACGCUCUUAUUUAAAGCGUUUUAAGCGAUCUUGACUUCGAUACAUGUGACAGCAGAAAUGGCCAGUAUAAAUGUGCCGGCGAGCGAGAUCGUUUGUGUUUCACUUUUCAAAGAUAAAAGGAUCGUUCUGGAUCCAUAUGCCUUUCCGCUCGCCGGCACAGAAACUUUUUCUCAGAUCCUAGAGAGCCUUUACGUAGCCAGCAUAAGAGACACGUUAAAUACAAGAUUCAAUGAACCUAUCACCAUAGGGGAUAAAACUCUGAUAAAAUGUUGUUUCAUCUAGCUCUAACGGGGAAAAAAAUUGAAAUGAAUACAU